GAUGAACGCUGGCGGCGUGCCUAAUACAUGCAAGUCGAGCGAACGGACGAGAAGCUUGCUUCUCUGAUGUUAGCGGCGGACGGGUGAGUAACACGUGGAUAACCUACCUAUAAGACUGGGAUAACUUCGGGAAACCGGAGCUAAUACCGGAUGAUAUUUUGAACCGCAUGGUUCAAAAGUGAAAGACGGUCUUGCUGUCACUUAUAGAUGGAUCCGCGCUGCAUUAGCUAGUUGGUAAGGUAACGGCUUACCAAGGAAACGAUGCAUAGCCGACCUGAGAGGGUGAUCGGCCACACUGGAACUGAGACACGGUCCAGACUCCUACGGGAGGCAGCAGUAGGGAAUCUUCCGCAAUGGGCGAAAGCCUGACGGAGCAACGCCGCGUGAGUGAUGAAGGUCUUCGGAUCGUAAAACUCUGUUAUUAGGGAAGAAAAUAUGUGUAAGUAACUGUGCACAUCUUGACGGUACCUAAUCAGAAGGCCACGGCUAACUACGUG
rnacentral:rRNA from 1 species